GAUGAAGAACGUAGCGAAAUGCGAUACGUAGUGUGAAUUGCAGAAUUCAGUGAAUCAUCGAAUCUUUGAACGCACAUUGCACCUCUCGGUAUUCCGGGAGGUAUGCCUGUUCGAGCGUCAUUUGUACCCUCAAGCUCUGCUUAGUGUUGGGUGUUUGUUCCGCCUCUGUGUGUGAACUCGCCUCAAAACAAUUGGCAGCCGGCGUACUUGUUUCGGAGCGCAGCACAUUUUGCGAUCCAGAUCAACGUACAGCGGCAUCCAAGAAGCCUUAUUUAACGCUCUUGACCUCGGAUCAGGUAGGGAUACCCGCUGAACUUAAGCAUAUCAAUAAGCGGAGGA
rnacentral:misc_RNA from 1 species